GAUUGUUUUGCCUCCAUAAUGCUCACCAACCUUCUUUCUCCUUAGCCUAUAAUUAUGGAUGGAUGCUUGAGGGAAAGAGGAGAUUUUGGAGAGAUAAAGGAGAUUUUGGUGGUGUGAGCUUGAGUAACGAGUCUGUUCUUACCAGAGUUGAGGAAAAAUAAUUAAGGCAAGUUUUCUUCUUAGUUUUUGUAAGUUCUUCCUCCUCUUUGUUUCAUUUAAGAGGCAAGAUCUCAGUUUUCUUAUUAAUAUGCAAGUUCAGUUUCUCCCUCUUCUCAAGUUCAUGUUUUUAAUUUGCAAGUUCUUAUUCCUAUUAAGGCAAUUUCUUCUUCCUCUUUAUUCCACUUAAGAGGCAAGAUCUCAGUCUUUCUAUUAAUGAGUAAGUUCUUAUCCCUAUCUUGCAUGCUAUUUUCUUAUUUUAUAAGUUAUUUCCCUUUGUUAGUAAAUUAUUUUAGGAUUUACAUUUAUACCUAUUAAAUUUCAAAUAGGGUUUUGUGUCACCCUAUCUUUUUUUGGAAAUGAUGCUUUAUUGUGGACAUGCAAGGGUUUGAUGUUGUCUUACAUGAAUGUUGCCCUAUUGUGCAUAUUGCUUCAUUAAUUGCAUGUUAGUUAUAUAUGAGAAGUUAUUAUGAAUAUACAUGUUAUGAUAAUGCAUGAAGCAUAUAUAUGAAAAUGAUUUUUAAAAAUAUGUAAAGACCUCAUGAUGCACGUAGCGGACGAGUCCGCAGGAUAUAUCUGCAAAGAAAGUGUUGAGCUCAAAGUUGGACUUCGGUCCCAAGUUUACGUUAUGGACUUCGGUCCCAAGUUUAUGUUAUGGACUUUGGUCCCCAAGGUUUCGGACUUCAAUCCCAUGCUUAUAGUUCUAAAAAGUACUGCAUAUGAGCAUGGAUACAGGUAUCAUCAUUUUAUCAUGUGAAAGUAUCUUAAAUGGCAUUUAUGUCUCUUUUGUUUCUUGAUACCCAUAACUCUUAUGCUCGCUUUCUUCCAGUUAUACUUGCUGGGUCUUGUGGCUCGUGUUUGCUUGCAUCAUUCUAGGUUGUACCCCUAAAGGGAUAUAGUGAGUUUAUGAACCCUGAUGCUAUCGCCACCACUUGUCGCUCGCGAUGCUUGCAUCAUCGUUGUCUUCGUUUCAACCGUCGCCGUCGGCACUUGCUCUAGUUGCGGCCAUGCUCAUUGUUGGCUUAACAUGGCAUCAUCUAUUGUUUCUUCCUCUUUUAGCUUUUUGGUUUACACAUUUUCUUUUCAAGGGAAAAGCUUUCUCCAGAAGCUCUCAUAAUAAUAAUAUAAUAUAUAUACAUGUACAUAUUUAUGUAAUAUAACACGCAUAGACAUCUUUUCCUCCUAGCUUCCUUGAGAAGCUUUAUAAUGCCUCUUGAUUUUAUUUUUUAAUUUUCUUUUUUUGCCAAGCAUCCUCACAAAGCUUCUUCAUACAACACGUAUAUAGAUAUAAAGAGAGAGAUUUCUCUUCCUUU